UUGUCCGAAAGCUGUUCUGAAUGAACUCACUCUAUAGGUCGCUAUAUAGUGCAACAUUACAUGGUGAGUGAGUGAGUGAACGAGUGAACGAACGAACGAACGAACGAUUUCGGAUUCAGCACAGAACUGUUGAGCAAAACUUGUAUGCGCGUGUUGAUGGCGUCAUUGGGUGGGUUCACUUCCGAGGUUACGGAUGCGAUUUCUUCCACGCGUGGGCUGAAUUUGUGGAAGUCGUGGCUCUCGUCCUGUUUAAGUCUGUGGACUAUUUUUUUUUUAAUAAUUAAGACCAGUAACGUUAUAAGUUAGUCGUAAGAAAGAAAAGAAAAGAAAACCCAAAACGGACACAAUUGAAUGCUGUUCAAGCGCUAGCUGGUGGAAGCUCGUUCCUUUUCGGCAUGGCGCUGUACACGAAAGCCGCCGAGAUCCUGGAGAAGGUGGAGAAGCAACAGGGUGCGCUCAAAACGCUGGUGUACGAAAGUAACUUCGCCAACAUCAAGCAGCUCUUCGCUCUGGUCUGCGAGGCCCAGAAGUUUUCGCCCAUCUUGGAGGAGAUCAUCGUGUCCACCAAGCUGCUGAAGCACACCAAGCUGAAGAUGCACCUGGCCAAGGUGCUAGUCUACGACCUGCUCGUGGGCCAAGGGCUCAAGUGCGGCGGCUCCUGGAAGGCGCUGCUGAUGAAGCAUCGCUCCAGGCUGCAGUCCGAGCUGGCCCGCAUGAAAGUCAAGCGGAAGGUCAGCAGGAAUGAGGACCUGCUCCCCGGCAGCGUCCAGCGACCCGCCGGAGACCAGCUGCCCAGGUACGUGCGCGUCAACACCCUGAAGACCACUGUGGAGGACGCCGUGGACUACCUCAAGAGGGAUGGCUUCACCUACUUGGGCGAGGCCUCCCAGUUGGAUGACUUGACUCUAAAGGCGAGACAGUUUGUGAAGGACCCCCACUUGUCGGAGGUGCUGGUCUUCCCCCCUAAAAUGGACUUCCACGACCACUUCCUGUACAAGGCGGGACACAUUAUUCUCCAGGAUAAAGCCAGCUGCCUCCCCGCCUUUCUGCUGGCCCCCCCGCCCGGGAGCCACGUCGUCGACGCCUGCGCCGCCCCCGGGAAUAAAACCAGCCACCUGGCCGCCAUCAUGAAGAACAAAGGCAAGCUGUUCGCCUUCGAUUUGGAUGCCAAGCGUCUGGCCACCACGUCCACCCUCCUGCUGCGAGCGGGCGUCACCUGCCAUCAGCUGGCCAAUCAGGACUUCCUGAAGGUGGACCCUGAUGCCGCGACGUACGCGGAUGUGGAAUACGUCCUGCUCGAUCCCUCGUGCAGCGGAUCAGGCAUGGUGUGUCUCGGGGACCGGGGCCCGUCGGCCGAGCCUCAGAAGGACGCCUCUCGUCUGGCUUCGCUGGCCUCCUUCCAGCUGCGUUGCCUGAACCACGGCCUUCGCUUCCCCCGCCUGAAGCGUCUCAGCUACUCCACCUGCUCCGUCCGCAGCCAGGAGAACGAGGAGGUCGUGGCGGCCUGUCUCCGGCAGAACCCCGGCUUCAGGCCGGUUCCUCUGCUGGCGCCGUGGCCCGAACGAGGCGCGCCGCCCCUCGUUCAGUGUCUGCGGGCGAGCGUCAGCGGGACGCGCACGCACGGAUUCUUCGUGGCCGUGCUGGAGCGAUGCGGUGAAGCCGAGAAUCCGAAGCCACGACUAACGGUCCGGAUAAGGUAGAUGAUGCUGCACUUGAGAAAAGCUGGAAGGAAGACGAACCCGUCCAAACUUUACUUCUCAGCUUUAGUUUCGAUUUAGAUCAGGAGUAAUUUAUCGGGGCCGACGAAGGACCCUGCCUGGGGGGGGUAGUGCUGUCAAAUUCUGUCUGAUGAGCACACCGGUAUACGAGCUGAACCCACGAAAAUAUUUGAUCAUAGAUAAGCCACACAUAUUAUACAUAACUGUGCUGCCCCCUGUGAUGUGCGUGCCUUCGCCUGACGGUGGCAGUAGUGUGAUACAAGUCGAAAUGAUUGCGGAUGUCCGGAAGGAGACCGUCGGCCAACUAAGCUAAAGCUAAACUCCAGCAUUGUUUUCCACAGAGCAGAGAGAACACUCGCCCGUGGGUGUUGCUUUACAGUGGAACCGCACGUUGUGAACAAUUUGUUUUCCGAACACAUUUUUGAAGACAUAUUGCCUGGCUUCACACAUUUCAGUCUUGGCGUGAACGCGGAAGGCUCAGUUGUGCUUUUUCUCGUGCCACAUAAACACCAUUAACUCCAUGCGUCACACAUUGCAGGCAUCCGGAGUCGGCGGCGCUCGGCCCGCCCGCGUCCGAGGAGACCCCCGAA